AUCCCCUGAAAUUACACAUAUAUAGCUUUUGGAGGGAUGGUUUAUAAGUGUAUUAAAUGAAAUAAAAGUCUGAGAUUUUAAUCAGAUUCUCAGUAUUUCCUGUUUUCCACUUUCUAGGAAUAUAGUAGGAUUGCAUUUCUUGGCUCUUUUGAGUUUUGUGGCGGACCAUGUGAUUAGUGGUGUUGAGUUGUGAAUAGAAGUGUGCCACUUCCCAAUCACAGCAUUUAAUUACCUGUGUGCAGCCCUCCAGAGCUCACGCCCCCUCUGCUGCAAUUCCCAGCAACAGUCCAGACGAUCACUGCUCAGUGUGUUCAGGUCCCAGAAGGAAAGGGUGCAGAGCAGAGCCCCAGCUGACCUGCAGGGGACAUGUGAUAUAUGGUUAGUUGUGAUGCAGGUCCUGCCCCAGCAGCCCCCUGAGAUGGUUACAUGCCAUUCCAGACCCUCCUCAAAGUUCUGAAGGGAAACAGUACGCCAGGCACAAUGGAUGCAAAGAUGAACAUGCUGAGGUCGUGCAAACGGAUGACAUUACCUGUAAGAUCACAAUUACUACUGCAGUUGAUAAUAGCCAGUGCUACUGAGGGGCCAGGGAGCAGGCACUCAUAGACUGUAGAAGGAACUAGAAAUUGGUAGGUCCUUUCUGGAGUACAAUUUGGCAGUGUAUAGCAAAAAGCUUAGAAAUGUACAUAUCCAUGACUCAACAAUUUCCCUUCUAGAUAUUUGUUGGUUAUAAGCCGAAGAUCUGCUCCCCACCAAGAGGACCCUACUUCAGUGUGGCCAUCUUGCACCCCAAGCAGGCACCUAGGAUCCCUAUCCACUGACACACAGGGCAGACCCCAAGUCCUGGCACCCUAAGAGGGCCUAUGAGCGCCCAUUGAAAAGCAGCUGAAGAAGAGUCAGGGUCUAACCUGAUCCGGUGCUUUGCUCAUGUUUAACACAUACUCUCCCGGAAGGGCACUGAUUCCCUCUUGCAGUUAUAUAUUGCUGUGUA